UACGGGGGGGGCAAGCGUUGUUCGGAAUUACUGGGCGUAAAGGGCUCGUAGGCGGCCAACUAAGUCAGACGUGAAAUCCCUCGGCUUAACCGGGGAACUGCGUCUGAUACUGGAUGGCUUGAGUUUGGGGAGAGGGAUGCGGAAUUCCAGGUGUAGCGGUGAAAUGCGUAGAUAUCUGGAGGAACACCGGUGGCGAAGGCGGCAUCCUGGACCAACACUGACGCUGAGUGAGCGAAAAGCCAGGGGAGCAAACGGGG
rnacentral:rRNA from 1 species